GAUGAACGCUGGCGGCGUGCCUAAUACAUGCAAGUCGAGCGAACGGACGAGAAGCUUGCUUCUCUGAUGUUAGCGGCGGACGGGUGAGUAACACGUGGAUAACCUACCUAUAAGACUGGGAUAACUUCGGGAAACCGUAGCUAAUACCGGAUAAUAUUCUGAACCGCAUGGUUCAAAAGUGAAAGACGGUCUUGCUGUCACUUAUAGAUGGAUCCGCGCUGCAUUAGCUAGUUGGUAAGGUAACGGCUUACCAAGGCAACGAUGCAUAGCCGACCUGAGAGGGUGAUCGGCCACACUGGAACGGAGACACGGUCCAGACUCCUACGGGAGGCAGCAGUAGGGAAUCUUCCGCAAUGGGCGAAAGCCUGACGGAGCAACGCCGCGUGAGUGAUGAAGGUCUUCGGAUCGUAAAACUCUGUUAUUAGGGAAGAACAUAUGUGUAAGUAACUGUGCACAUCUUGACGGUACCUAAUCAGAAAGCCACGGCUAACUACGUG
rnacentral:rRNA from 1 species